AUCUGAUUACCAAAACUUGAACUGUAUUCCCUUAUUCUCCAGGUAGGCACCUAAUUACCAAACUUGAAUCAUAUUUCCAUGUCUUCCAGGUGGGUGCCUGAUUACCAAAACUGAAUUGUAUUCCCUUAUUUUCCAUGUGGGCGCUUGAUUACCAAAAUUUGAAUCGUAUUCCAUUGUUCUCCAGGCAGGUGCCUGAUUG
rnacentral:lncRNA from 1 species